rnacentral:ncRNA from 1 species
AUGUUGUAUGAAAGGAGAGAAGUUUAGUACUCUCCUUGAUAAGAGUGGAAGAGGUCCUACUGGCUUUCACAACACUUAUAUGGUUUAAGUAUUGUCACCAACUCUGUGGCAUCUAACCAUGUUUUUAU